UUUAAUGAGAGUUUGAUCCUGGCUCAGGACGAACGCUGGCGGCGUGCCUAAUACAUGCAAGUAGAACGCUGAGGUUUGGUGUUUACACUAGACUGAUGAGUUGCGAACGGGUGAGUAACGCGUAGGUAACCUGCCUCAUAGCGGGGGAUAACUAUUGGAAACGAUAGCUAAUACCGCAUAAGAGUAAUUAACACAUGUUAGUUAUUUAAAAGGAGCAAUUGCUUCACUGUG
rnacentral:rRNA from 1 species